GGCGCUAUGACCGAGUGGUUAAGGUGACAGAUUUGAAUUUGAAGCUCUUUGAGGCAUCAGUCAUUAUCUGUUGGGAUCUCCCGCACAGGUUCGAACCCUGUUGGCGUCG